CCAGCAGUCGCGGUAAGACGUGUAAGACAAGUGUUAUUCAUAUUUACUAGGUAUAUUGGGUACUCAGACAGUUAAUUAAGCCGAUGAGGUACUAAUUAUACUAGAGUUUUAUGGGAAAAGGUUAGAACGGUGAGUGUAGUGAUAAAAUACGUUGAUACCACUUAGAGACUGACAACGGCGAAGGCGACCUUUUAUGUAAAAACUGACGUUAAAGUACGAAGGCUCAAGCAAAGGAUAAGGAUUAGAUACCCUAGUACUGUGGGCAGUAAAUGAUGAGUGUCAUAGGUAAGUAUAAAUAUAACUUAUAAAAAAGUUGUAUGACUAUUUACGUAUAAAUGAAAGUGUAAGCACUCCACCUUAAGAGUAACAUGGCAACAUGGGAACUGAAAUCAUUAGACCGUUUCUGAAACCAGUAGUGAAGUAUGUUGUUUAAUUUGAUAAUCCACAAAGAACCUUACCACAAUUUGUAUGUUUUUUUCAAAAAAAAAUCACAGGAGUUGCACGGCUGUCUUCAGUUGAUAUCGUGAGAUCUUGGUUUACUCCAUUGAAUCAACGAAAACCCUUACUUUAUUUUAUUCAUAAAGCAGCUCUCCCCAAAGGAUAUGAUAAUAGGG
rnacentral:rRNA from 1 species